AGUGAACGCUGGCGGUAGGCCUAAUACAUGCAAGUCGAACGGCAGCACAGUAAGAGCUUGCUCUUACGGGUGGCGAGUGGCGGACGGGUGAGAAAUACAUCGGCAUCUACUUUUUCUUGGGUGAUAACGUAGGAAAACUUACGCUACUACCUCAUACGACCUACGGGUGAAAGCAGUGGAUCUUCGCACCUUGCGCGAUUGAAUGAGCUGAUGUCGGAUUAGCUAGUUGGCGAGGUAAAGGCCCACCAAGGCGACGAUCCGUAGCUGGUCUGAGAGGAUGAUCAGCCACACUGGAACUGAGACACGGUCCAGACUCCUACGGGAGGCAGCAGUGGGGAAUAUUGGACAAUGGGCGAAAGCCUGAUCCAGCAAUACCGCGUGGGUGAAGAAGGCCUUCGGGUUGUAAAGCCCUUUUGUUGGGAAAGAAAAGCAGCAGGUUAAUCCACCGAUGUCCCGACGGUACCCAAAGAAUAAGCACCGGCUAACUUCGUG
rnacentral:rRNA from 1 species